rnacentral:ncRNA from 1 species
UGGCUCUGGAGAAUCCCAGGAUGGGUGCCGAAGGUGCAAGCGCGCGAAAGCGCGUGAAUCUCUCAGGCAAAAGGACAGAGUA